CGGGCUGAGGGGCCCGGCCCGGGAGCGGCAGCAGCCGGGGGGGCCCGAGCGGGCCUGGGGGGCCCCGAGCCGGUCUCGGGAGCCCCGAGCCGGCCUGGCAGCGGGCGGGGCGUGCUGGGGUCUCGCCGGUGCCGCCCCUUCCCCGUGCGGGGCGCGCCGCUGGAGCCGCUCCGUGCCGCGGCCUCGGCGCUGGAGCGGGGCCGGGGUCCCCCCGCAGGGAGAAGGGCCGGGGGCAGCCCCCGGUGCCCUCCGGCUCCGUGGGGAGCGCGGGCACACAGACAGGCCGCGGGGACACGCGGCUCGCCGAGGUGGCCGCUCCCGGCCCGGGGAAUUUGGAUGCUUGGGGACAUCGCUCGCUGUCCUGGGAAGGGGACGGACGGAGCGCUCCUCUGCUCCCUGCUGAUGUUCAGCCCUAGGAGCGCCUGAUGUGAAGCCCCAAGUCCUCCAAGACUUCAUCCAAAAGUUCCUCCUAGCUGUCUUUUCAUACAGUUAUUUUAUUGCCACCUGCUCUGUUGAAGCAGUGAGACUUAGGCUUGGAGGUGGUUUUAUGAGCCCGUGUUACUUUUGGUUUUGAUUUAGAAAAGAGGCCUUCCUCUGAUCCUUGAAACUGCACUUCCUAGGGCUUGGGAUGGCCCCAGCUGCACGUCUCACAAAUUACUUAAUCAUUGCAGCACAUUUAGAUCAAUUAGUGCAUGUUAGUUUUUAUGUGGGGUAUUAUAAAGCAGUAUUUUUAAUUUAGGAGCUUCCUGUUAGCUGGGAUUGGAGCACUGAAGUUCAUUUAAAGAAGGAUUUGAUUGCCUUCAAUACCUGAGAGGUGAAACUGGGGAGGGAGUAAGAACUGAAAGAGCCUGUACUCGAGAAAGGGGUUUUGUUUUAGGAAGUGAGUAAGAGGAAAUGAUCUCAGGUUGGCAUCGCAAAGUGUAGCCCACGUGUGUGGUGGAGGGUUUUGUUUUUUUAACGACUUGUUCUUUCUGCAAGCAACAAUAUCUUGUCCUCAGGAGGGAGAGCUGUGCCUGCCCUCAGCAGGUCCUGUAGCAUAUGGGAGUUGUGGAGGUAACUGGAGCCCUUCUCCAGACAGGCAAGGUUCAGGUGUCCUUCACCCGUGAUCCUUGAGGACAGGAGAGCUCUCUAUUCCAAGGAGACUUUAAGGCUAAACACAGACCCAAAAAAGGAAGGACAGAGCGGUCCCGUAGCUCCUACACUCAGGGAGGAUAGCUGAGAGAGACAACC